UGGGGAGCUAGAAGGACAGGUAAGAUAUUCCAGUGUUUGCAUACUGAUAUAAUACCAGUCUAAUCUUAGUGACCUUGUGUCAAGUGAAAUGAGGUCAGUAUGUCACGGUGAAUGUGUCUGUGGACUGUAUCUUGAGAAAAAGACAGAGAAAAUUUAAAUUGUAGCUUGGCCAGGAACAUACAGUUAACUACAAAAAAAAAAAAAAAAA